AUUGAACGCUGGCGGCAGGCUUAACAAAUGCAAGUCGAACGAGUGGCUGACGGGUGAGUAAUGCUUGGGAAUCUAGCUUAUGGAGGGGGAUAACUACGGGAAACUGUAGCUAAUACCGCGUACCAUAGGAUGAGCACAAGUGGGAUUAGGGAGUUGGUGAGUUAAAGGCUCACCAAGCCGACGAUCUCUAGCUGGUCUUAGAGGAUUACCAGCAACACUGGGACUGAGAAACGGCCCAGACUACUACGGGAGGCAGCAGUGGGGAAUAUUGCGCAAUGGGGGCAACCUGACGCAGCCAUGCCGCGUGAAUGAAGAAGGCCUUCGGGUUGUAAAGUUCUUUCGGUAGCGAGGCGUUAACUACAGAAGAAGCACCGGCUAACUCCGUGCCAGCAGCCGCGGUAAUUC
rnacentral:rRNA from 1 species